GGUGGCUCAUCUGUAGAGCACUUGCCUUGCAUGCAUGAGGCCCUGGGUUCGAUUCCUCAGCACCG
rnacentral:tRNA from 1 species